UAGGAGGCAGGAGCGCGCGCCGCGCUAGGAGGCAGGAGCGCGCGCCGCGCUAGGAGGCAGGAGCGCGCGCCCGGGCGAGCCGGGGCGGGGCCUGUCGCGGGGCAUUGUGGGAAAGCAUGGGGGCCAGGAAGCACUCGCCGCCCAAACCGCGGGGGACGGCUGCAGAGGGAAGGCGGUGUCGGGUUAGGUUGACGUGGACAUCCGCCCGGAAUCCGCACCCAGGUCCGGCUCCGGAGCCAACCCCGGAGCUGAGAGACACAGCGUAGCACAGAGGCCGUUGUUACGCUGACACCGGCGGAGGCAGCGCACGCUCACGGGCCGGAUGAAAAAAAAAAAGGGGGAAGCCCCGCCCCUUCCUCCCCGUUGCCUUGGUGACGGGAAACUCGGAGGAGGGAGUCAGCGGGCCACUUCCGAUUGACCCUUUUAGGGGAAAGGCUGGGAUGGGGCACUGAUGUGGAGCUAAGGCGGAAAGCAACAAUUAGGAGGCAACAGCAAGCUUGAGUCAAGUGACUUUAUUGCGGUAUCAGGUGAAGUGAAUUUGAUUGCAGGCUCAGACUAGAAGAGUGAGAGGCUACAAGAAAUUUGAGAGAAAAUACAACAUUUAAGAUUGUGUUUUUAAAUUAUCUAUUUAUUGGAUAGAGGGACAGCCAGAAAGCCAGAGGAGAGAGGGAGAUAAAGAGGGAGAGAGACAGAGAGACACCUGCAGCACCGCUUCACCACUAGCAAAGCUUUUCCCCUGCGUGGGGGUGGGAACCAGGGGCUCGAACCCGGGUCCUUAUGCAUUAAAACGUGUGCUCAACCAGAUGGUGCAAAACCUGCAUUUCUGGUGAGCAACAACAGAUCAGCAGAAUUGCACUUAGAAUCAUCAAACAGAGAGAAAACAUGAAGCUUUCUACGUGUGACGUCAACCCUAGUGUGAAAUAAGUGUUAAUUGGUCACAAUACCAUGGGAACGAAGAGGCACGAAGCAAGGCAGAAAUGGCAGGAGAGCCUGUUGUAAUAGUAGUUAACAUGUAUCAAGAACUCAUCCUAGCACCCACUCCUCCAAAUAAUCUCAUAAG